UUCCGUGUUUUAGAUGGAAAAAUUAGAGGAUUUCUCUGCAUCUUACUCCGCAUUCAUCUCGACACGCACAACUGAAUUCUGGUGCAGCCAUUAAUAUCCAUGGUACGACGCAUACUGCUCGAACAUCUCACAAGCUCCUGCAAAAUAAGAGACAGCCCCAGUUUGUCUAUCCACUCACAAGCUCCUAGAGUUUGCCGAGCGAUUAAGCAAGCCCGCCAAAGAUAUCUUUUGAAAACCAUGUUAUGCCUAGGGAUUCCAAAGACUCUCAUGGCGUAGAAACUUCCAAUGGUAAAUCAAGCCAAUUAAAUGGAAGAGAAGUUAUACGAGGAAACCUUGCAGAAACUUUGAUUGCCAGGGCUGGGAAUGCAGAGCAGGGUAGGUCUCCACCAGAUAAUGCUGUUGAUUGGGUUGAGGGUCCAAUUCAAGUUUCAGAUGAGAAAACCUCCUAUAAAUCUUGCUGCAUCAAUGGAUGUGUCCAUGAACUCCUGGAUUAUGUUCUUAUUCGCUUUGACAAUGACAAAUUAAUUCCUUUAAAACUUUGGGGGUGUUUG
rnacentral:lncRNA from 1 species